CAAGCAGCGGAGCGUGUGGUUUAAUUCGAUGCUACACGAAGAACCUUACCAGGGUUUGACAUACAAGUGGUAGAGAAGCGAAAGCGGACGACCUUCGGGAGCUUGUACAGGUGCUGCAUGGCUGUCGUCAGCUCGUGUCGUGAGAUGUUGGGUUAAGUCCCGCAACGAGCGCAACCCUUGUCAUUAGUUGCCAUCAUUUGGUUGGGCACUCUAAUGAGACUGCCGGUGACAAACCGGAGGAAGUGGGGAUGACGUCAAGUCCUCAUGGCCCUUAUGGGUAGGGCUUCACACGUCAUACAAUGGUCGGUACAGAGGGUUGCCAACCCGCGAGGGGGGGCUAACCCCACAAAGCCGAUCGUAGUCCGGAUCGCAGUCUGCAACUCGACUGCGUGAAGUCGGAAUCGCUAGUAAUCGUGGAUCAGCAUGUCACGGUGAAUACGUUCCCGGGUCUU
rnacentral:rRNA from 1 species